AUACGUAGGUGGCAAGCGUUGUCCGGAAUCAUUGGGCGUAAAGGGCGUGUAGGUGGAUGAUUAAGUCUUGUGUCUAAGUGCGGAGCUCAACUCCGUAUGGGCGCAGGAAACUGGUUAUCUUGAGUGCAGGAGAGGAAAGUGGAAUUCCCAGUGUAGCGGUGAAAUGCGUAGAUAUUGGGAGGAACACCAGUGGCGAAGGCGACUUUCUGGACUGUGUCUGACACUGAGGCGCGAAAGCCAGGGGAGCGAACGGGAUUAGAUACCCCGGUAGUCCUGGCCGUAAACGAUGGGUACUAGGUGUAGGAGGUAUCGACCCCUCCUGUGCCGGAGUUAACGCAAUAAGUACCCCGCCUGGGGAGUACGGCCGCAAGGUUGAA
rnacentral:rRNA from 1 species